rnacentral:rRNA from 1 species
AUUGAACGCUGGCGGCAUGCUUUACACAUGCAAGUCGAACGGUAACAGGCCUUCGGGUGCUGACGAGUGGCGAACGGGUGAGUAAUGCAUCGGAACGUACCCAGAGGUGGGGGAUAACGCAGCGAAAGCUGUGCUAAUACCGCAUGUGAUCUGAGGAUGAAAGCGGGGGACCGAGCAGCAAUGUUUGGCCUCGCGCCUUUGGAGCGGCCGAUGUCGGAUUAGCUAGUUGGUGGGGUAAAGGCCUACCAAGGCGACGAUCCGUAGCUGGCCUGAGAGGACGACCAGCCACACUGGGACUGAGACACGGCCCAGACUCCUACGGGAGGCAGCAGUGGGGAAUUUUGGACAAUGGGCGCAAGCCUGAUCCAGCAAUGCCGCGUGCGGGAAGAAGGCCUUCGGGUUGUAAACCGCUUUUGGCGGGAACGAAACGGUGUCCGCUAAUACCGGGCGCUAAUGACGGUACCUGCAGAAUAAGCACCGGCUAACUACGUG